rnacentral:tRNA from 1 species
GCGCCCAUAGCUCAGCUGGAUAGAGCACUUGACUACGAAUCAAGGGGUCGGGAGUUCGAAUCUCUCUGGGCGCGCCA